rnacentral:misc_RNA from 1 species
AAAGAUUCCUUCUAACUUGUAUAAGAAGGCCUCCCGACUUGCUCAAGAAGCAGAGAAGAGUGAGAGAGAAGAAUAGUAAGUUGUGUAUUUUCUUUAAAGCUUUUCUUUGAGUGUACUGUUUUCGUUUGAAUGUUCUAAGAGUGUACUAUUUUCAAAUCAAUAAAAUAUAUUGUAUUUUCAUCAUCCCAAUCUUCUUUUCCAAAGUUAGAA